rnacentral:rRNA from 1 species
UACGUAGGGUCCAAGCGUUGUCCGGAGUUACUGGGCGUAAAGCGCGCGCAGGCGGCGAAGUGGGUCCGGCGUGAAAGCCCCCGGCUCAACUGGGGAGAGUCGUCGGGGACCGCUUCGCUUGAGGCUGGCAGGGGCUGGUGGAAUGCCCGGUGUAGUGGUGAAAUGCGUAGAUAUCGGGCGGAACACCCGUGGCGAAGGCGGCCAGCUGGGCCAGAUCUGACGCUGAGGCGCGAAGGCGUGGGGAGCGAACGGG